rnacentral:rRNA from 1 species
AAAACGACUCUCGGCAACGGAUAUCUCGGCUCUCGCAUCGAUGAAGAACGUAGCGAAAUGCGAUACUUGGUGUGAAUUGCAGAAUCCCGUGAACCAUCGAGUCUUUGAACGCAAGUUGCGCCCCAAGCCUUCUGGCCGAGGGCACGUCUGCCUGGGUGUCACUM